UACGUAGGGGGCAAGCGUUGUCCGGAAUUAUUGGGCGUAAAGAGCGCGUAGGCGGUCCGAUAAGUCGGCUGUGAAAGUCAGGGGCUCAACCCUUGAAAGCCGGCCGAUACUGUCGGACUAGAGUCCGGAAGAGGCAAGUGGAAUUCCCGGUGUAGCGGUGAAAUGCGCAGAUAUCAGGAAGAACACCCGUGGCGAAGGCGGCUCUCUGGGACGGUACUGACGCUGAGACGCGAAAGCGUGGGGAGCAAACAGG
rnacentral:rRNA from 1 species